UUGCCGUAGCUUCUUACGCCAUCUUAGGGUGAGUUCAGAUUUUUCACCCGGGUGCACUCUAUUACUAGAAACACUAUAGUAUAUGUUACUAUGACACUUCUAGUAAUAGAAUACACUCGGGUGUGGAAUCUGAACGCAGCCUUACGUGACAACCUUACGUUACGUGAGACGUAAGCUGAACGUACGGCAACGCAUGAAAAUUUUACAUUAUGUUACGUUAUGAAGGAACAUAGAGGUUCUGUGACAAAGGUUUUCAAGUCAACAAAUAUGAAAACAUCAAAGUCUAUGAAGUUAAAAUGUUUAUGGUUGUCAUUACUCUUAAUUUAUUAUAUGAGAUUAAAAUAGAGAAACACACAAAAGAUGGUAAAAUAGAAGAUGGCUCGUGAGACCAAUUAAUCAAUAGAGAAAACAGCAAAGAGAAUGAAAAUUUGUUUCAAGAAUUAAAAACUGAUGAAGACAUGUUUGUCAAAUAUGCCAGAAUGAAUGUUCAACAUUUUAACAAGUUAUCAACCAUGCUAAGACCUUAUUUGGUAAAAGAACUAAGAAAGCUCUGUCUCCGGAACCCAGAUUAAUAAUAACAUUAAGAUAUCUUACAACAGGGAAUUCAAUAGCAAGUAUUGCAUUUUCUUUUCGAGUUGGGCAGUCAACUGUUAGACAGUUAAUGAAAGAAGUGUUUUUUUGUUAUUGUUAAUACAUUACAGUCUCUAUAUUUAGUAUGUCCAACUGAAUAACAGUGGAAGAACCGAUAGAAUAUGUCUAAAUACUUUGGAGCUAUUGACGGGAAACACAUAGUUUUGCGAUGUCCUCCUAAUUCUGGAAGAUUGUAUUUUAAUUAUAAGAAACAAUUCAGCAUUGUUCUUAUGGCAAUAUCUGAUUAUUUAUAUAGAUUUAGUUUAGUUGAUAUAGGAGCCUAUAGAAAAAAUAGUGACGGAGGCAUUUUUGAAUCGUCAAAUAUUGGAAAAUAUUUAAAAAAUAAUGGACUUAAUUUGCCCACUUCACGCUCUUAUUUUCCCGGAAGUAAUAUCUUUAUGCCUCGAUUUUUUAUCGCAGAUGCUGCGUUUCAAUUAUGUACUCGUAUAAUGAUCCAUCAGCAAUAUUUUUCCACUAUUCUUCACUCCACUAUUCUUCAACUAGACACACUUCUUUCAUUAACUGUAUAAUAGUUGACUGCCUCGAGUUGAACUCGAAAAGAAAAUGCAAUACUUGCUACUAAAUUCCCUGUUGCAAGAUAUCUGAAAAAUGUAUCACAAUUUUUGCUAUAUAGUUUAUAAUUUCGUAAAACAUUUUUUUCUAACAAUAAUUUCGAAACAUAAUUAAAAAUUUA